UCCCUGAUGGUCCAGUGGUUAAGACUCUGUACUUCUACUGCAGGGGGGCACAGGUUCAAUCCCUGGUCAAGGAU